ensembl:lncRNA LINC01535 long intergenic non-protein coding RNA 1535
CCCCCACGUUUCCGGGAGCCCGGCGGACGCUGGGUCUGCAGAUGCCAUCCAGGCGCACGGCGGGUAUAGUGGUUCCGCAACCUUGGGAUGUUCGGCUGAGCGCCUGCCUAACAUGGGAGCGCCUGCCUAACCCUCCUGACUGGAGGGUCAGCGGCGGGGAGUCCUGGCCUUCAAUCGGCCAUCGCCACGGCAGAAACUGGGGCCCGGGCUGCGUCCAGGCCCUUCCCCGUCCGUCCACAGGUCUCAUGGGCGCCCGGACUGGGGCUGAUGUAGUUUCCCGACCUCUGACACAUAGGAUCUGGAGAUUAAAGCUGCUCUGCUAAUAAUUAGGUUCCCACCUCUCAAGAUCAUUAGGAGCUUCUUUUCCAAUUCCUCUGUUUUGCAUGCAUUGGAAGGCCCCUGGAUCCUCCUGGAAUCCCUGAUCCCUGUUGCUCCCUGGCGGAGUUUUCUAGUCCCUCUUACUUGAAGCAUGUCUUUCAGAGCCCGGCACCACCCAAGUUGGGUAUCUGCUACACCUCUAUGGUAUUUUUUUCACCUCAUAUCAUACCUUCCUCCCUCACUGGACUUCAGUGUGGGACCUGCAGGUCUCAGGCCUUCUGGGAAGUCCCAGCUUUUCUUGAAUGUUCUCUCUCUCUGGCCAGCUCAGGCUGGAGCAGUGGGUGUUGGUGCCAUCCUGUGGCUAUAGGUGAUAAGCCGGCUGUUCUUCACUGACCUGGUCUUACCUUGAACCCUGGAGUUCUCACAUGCAUGGAUUUAAAUGCUGUGUCUUUCUAAGGGCACAUUAUGGCCAUUUUCCUUAUCUCCCUCCCAAGGGGCUGUUUCCUGUAUUUAUUGACUCCCUGUUUAAAAAAAAUAUAUGUAUAUAUAGACAAAUUGGAUUGUACCCCAUAAACUGCAUGUUUUAAAAAUACUUCAAAGAAUAGUUUUUCAUUUUUUUCUUGCUGGUUUUUAUGUAUCUUCUAAAUUGUAUAUAUUUAUGGGGUAUAAAAUGAUGUUGUGAUUUUUCAAUACAGUGUGGAAUGAGAAUCAAAUUAACCUAUCCGUUACCUCAAGUACUUGACUUUUUUUGUGAUGAGAAGGCUGUUUAUCACUUUCACUCACCAGCUCCUGCUGUCUUCCAUGCUGGGGACAGGAAAGGCUCCACGCUUGACUUUCCCUCCUGUUUUCUUAUCUGCUGUCAACCCCUGAAUGUACCCUCCAGGAUUGACUUCUAGACCUUCUACAUCUAGCUCGAUCGUUGUGCACCCACCUUCCUCCCAGGGACUGUCCUUAGGGAGUGACUUUAUGCACAAACUUCACAUGCUCUUCCUGCCUCCUUCAUCCCCAGAAGCCCCCAUCUCAGCCCCAUCUGAUUAUUUCCUCCCUCUCUCAUUUCCUGUUAUGCUGUUGGUUUUCUAACCUGAAGGGUAACUUCUUACUCCUUAGUUUUUUGCCUUAAUUUCUAAGUCAUAGGCUACUUUCAGGCUAAAAGUUUUCCUCCAGCCAUGGUUUUAGUCUCAUUCUAUAAGUCUUGCUAGGUAGUUUAUUCAUUGGAAAUUUUUUGUUUUUGAGACAGAGUCUCGCUCUAUCACCCAGGCUGUAGUACAGUGGUGCCAUCUCAGCUCACUGCAACCUCCGGUUCCCGGGCUCAAGCAGUUCUCUUUCCUCAGCCUCCUGAGUAGCUGGGAUUAUGGGUGCCUGCCACCACACCCAGCUAAUUUUUGUAUUUUUAGCAGAGACGGCAUUUCACCAUGUCAGCCAGGUUGGUCUCGAACUCUUGACCUCAAGUGAUCCGCCCGCCUUGGCCUCCCAAAAUACUGGGAUUACAGGGGUGAGUCACCGCACCCCACCCCUUGGCACUAUAUUUAAGUGAUGAUAUUUUUGGACACUGAGGUAGCCUCAUUCCACAGGUUUAGAUCUGAAGCAUUUUCACUAUUGCUUCUUUCCAUGUAUUUCCUGGUUUGCAGGUCAGUUUCUUCUUUUAAUUCAUCAUUGACACAGUGGUUUAUAUGGCUUUUAAUUUCAAAAGAUUUUUUAAAAUAUCUUUUUGCCGAUUUUUAUCUAUGUUAAUUUUAACUAGACAUGUUCCCUGGAAGGACAUCACUAGUUUUUUUUUUUUUUUUCCCUCUGUUUAUAAUUUAGGUGGAUUUUCACAUCUCAAGCCAGCUAAGAGUAUGGGAAAUAGGACUCGUUAAAGCACAGGUAUCACACAAGUGAUUCAGAUUCACGAGGGUAAUCCAGAUGAAGGUAUAUCAUUGUACCUGGCCCGCAUCACUCAAUAACUGUCACCUUUGAUUUAUUGAUUUACUUGAGAUGGAGUUUGGUUCUGUCCCCGAGGCCGGAGUGCAAUGGCGUGAUCUCUGCUCACUACAACCUCUGCCUCCCAGGUUCAGAGUGAUUCUCCUGCCUCAGCCUCUUUAGCUGGGAUUACAGGCACCCACCAACAUGCCCAGCUAAUUUUUGUAUUUUUAGUAGAGAGGAGCUUUCACCAUAAUGGCCAGGCUGGUCUUGAACCUCAAAUGAUCUGCCCACCUUGGCCUCCCAAAGUGCUAGGAUUACAGGCUGGAGCUACGGAGCCCAGCCUGUCACCUUGAUUUAAAUGAAUGCAGCUUUCUUGGUGUCUUGAUGUUUGUGAAUUUCUGUGGAGUUUGAUACUGCUCCUUUUGCUGCUUGUUUUUCCAGAGUCCCCUUAUCACUUGACGUGCUGUUAUAUUAUGUUUGAUUUAUUACAGAUACCCCAUCAGCCUGAGUCUCUUAAAGGCCUUUAUACACAUAUGUCUACACAUAGGGAUUUGGAUGAUCUCGGGAUCCCACAUCCUCGCUGUCCCCUGUCCCCCCACAACAUCCCACACCAAUACCUUUCUGAAGUUUUCUAGUCCCUCCUUUUUGUUUGUGGUCCUUAAAGCCCAGCCCCAUGCCUGACUUUGGUUCCCAGUGAGCAUUGUACAUUUGUGGAUAUUAAAUCUUUGGCAAAGUCAU